GACACUCAAGUUGUCGCGCAAGCCGGGGCAGCCGCUGCGUCACUACUGUUAGAGGCCGUGCAGGUAAACUUAUGUUUAACCCUUCCGAUUGUUGUUUUGAUAUUAAUCCUUCUUAUCUUAGACUGCACAGAUUACCCCUAUGGACACACAAUAAUCGGCAGCAACCCAAUCGGCCAUGGACGCGCCCCCGCUUCCAUCCGUUGAGGUAUAACACUAUUUCACCGAUUCCCCUAGUAUUUGAAUAAUAUGCUCAUUCAACCUUCUGACACAGGUCAUCGGCACGCCAAGCGCC
rnacentral:lncRNA from 1 species